rnacentral:rRNA from 1 species
CACGUAGGGCGCAAGCGUUGUCCGGAAUUAUUGGGCGUAAAGAGCUCGUAGGUGGCCUGUUGCGUCCGCUGUGAAAACUCGGGGCUUAACCCGAGCCUGCAGUGGAUACGGGCAGACUAGAGGUAGGUAGGGGAGAAUGGAAUUCCUGGUGUAGCGGUGAAAUGCGCAGAUAUCAGGAGGAACACCGGUGGCGAAGGCGGUUCUCUGGGCCUUACCUGACACUGAGGAGCGAAAGCGUGGGGAGCGAACAGGG